GUUGGGCCUGCUCGGUGAGAAGAAAAAUUUAACAGCUGCGGUAUUAUAACUGUACUAAGGUAGCAUAAUAAUUUGCCUUAUAAAUUAAGGCUAGAAUGAAUGGUUUGACGAAAAUUAGACUGUCUUUAUUUUAUUUGUUAGAAAUUAAUUUUUAUAGUGAAAAAGCUUGAAUAAUUUAAGGGGACGAGAAGACCCUAUUGAGCUUUAUUUAUUAAUAUUUAAAUAUAAAUAUAUAAUUUAUAUUAUGAAAAUUAUGUUGUAUAUAUAUAUAUAUUUAAUUGAUUUAAUUUUGAUUGGGGUGAUCAAGGAAUAAAGAUAAAGUAACUUCCUUAAAAUUAAUGAUUGUUUUUAUAGAGUAAUAAACCAAGUUUUUUGCUUAUAAGAUAAGUUACCAUAGGGGUAACAGCGUAAUUUUUUUUGAGAGUUCAUAUUGAAAAAAGAGAUUGCGACCUCGAUGUUGGAUUAAAAAUUACCUUAAGG
rnacentral:rRNA from 1 species